AUGCCAUGAUGAGGGCACUUUCUUAAUAACUCCUUAAACUGCUCCCAUACCUCAUAUAAAGAUUCUUCGUCAAGUUACUAAAAUGAAGUGAUUUCAUUUCGGAGCUU
rfam:Gossypium hirsutum cultivar TM-1 chromosome 7, whole genome shotgun sequence